UACGUAGGUGGCAAGCGUUGUUCGGAAUUACUGGGCGUAAAGGGCGCGUAGGCGGCCAUCUAAGUCAGACGUGAAAUCCCCCGGCUUAACCUGGGAACUGCGUCUGAUACUGGACGGCUUGAGUAUGGGAGAGGGAUGUAGAAUUCCAGGUGUAGCGGUGAAAUGCGUAGAUAUCUGGAGGAACACCUGUGGCGAAAGCGGCGCACUGGACCAUAACUGACGCUGAUGCGCGAAAGCUAGGGGAGCAAACAGG
rnacentral:rRNA from 1 species